rnacentral:lncRNA from 8 species
AUGGGGCUCUGUGAGGAGAGCCCAGGGGCCCAUGCAGAAACCAAACCCCCCAGCGCCAGCUUCCUGGACCCCUUGUCGGACCCGCUGCUCAGUGCUACCUCCACCACCACACCCAUCUCCAGCAAAGCAGGACUGCCCAAUACCGAGGAUCCCUUAGUGGACCUUUCGGAAGUCCUAAGCACGGAUGCAGAUCUCCUGGGAAUGCUGUCGGAUGAUCUGGUGAAGUCGGGGCACAACUCAGCUGGUCUGGACAUGGACCCCAUCCCUGAUGAUCCCACUGGGCCCUGUCAGGGCUCAGCAUGCCGGGGGCCCAGGGCUCUACCGGAGGAGCCUCUGGACGUCAUCCUGAGCCCAGAACUGGACAAGAUGGUCGCAGAUGGUAAGGCGGCCUUGUUCAAUUCUGUCUGUCUACCAGAUGUGCUGCCCACCAGAGAUCUGUAUAUAAUGGCUAUAUUCUCAUGUCUCCACCCUAACAAUGGGAGUGGUUGUCCCAAAGGCAGGAAGGCAGGCGACAAGCUUAUGUCCAAAAUAAGCCCAUUGAAACGUAUUGGGUUUAUUUUGGACAGAUUUUGUCGAGAGUGAAACCUCUGGCUUCGCCUCUUCCUCUCUGUGCACACUCAGUGUCAUUGGUGAAGAGCAGAGGUUUACAUCUCCAGUCCUCCAGGGCUUCAGUGUCUGUUUCCACUUGUCUCACUGAUCUAUUUGGCGUAUGUUAGUGUGUGACUCUCUGGCCUAACUGGUUUCCCAGCUCGACAUCAGUACAUAGAUUCAGGGUCGGUUUCCGAGACACGUCUAUAAAGCUGGACUAGGCUUAAUCUGUGUCUGCGAAACUGGCCUUAAAAGUCAAUCAUGAGAAAUAAGUCUUUCUUCCUCUUUCUUCCUAGAGUUACGUGCCUCUGUUGAUGAUUGUGGUCUUUACAGUAUCCACCACAUGGAACAACUGCUGUGUAUAGAAGGCAUUGGUGGUCAAAUCACAUCCCACAUUACAAAAUCAUGGAACACUAAGUAAAUAAUGUUUACUCAGUUUAACUGAAGUUCCCGCUAAGUAUCAGUGUUGACAAAUAGGGAGGUCAACCUUAUUCCCUUGGCAGAGAUUUACCCGCCUGACUUGUUCACUGUGUGUUAUAACUGCUUAGCGGCUUCCUGGCUCUGCCAAAACCAAUGUCUGGCCAUACACAUUGACGCAUAACCAAAGCCAUGCUGGUUUUAGUUGAGGUUGUUGAACUACACCCCAUCUGAUGAAAUUCUAUGUUUGAUCCCCAGGAUUUGUUCUUAACUGGCUUGCUUGGUUCAAUCAAACUAGCACAGAGGAUAAAGUGUAUAACAUUGCAGCAAUGUAAUAUGCAUUUCUUUUUUUUCAGGUGCAAUUCUCAGUAAGCUCUACAAAAUCCCAGGUUUGUGGUUUCGAUUAUAUAAGUCUAACCUAGAGUUUUCAAAGGUUGUUCAUUCAUUUGUAUGUCAGAGAUGAUCAGUUCCAUAGAAUUCAAAGAUAACAGUUUGAAACGUUCAAUCACCACUUGUUGAUGGUGGUUUAAAGUAUGUGCAUCAACGCUAUUUAUUUCAUCGGGGCUGCAGCUUAGCCUAGUGGUUAGAGCGUUGGUCUAGUAACCGAAAGGUUGCCAGAUCAAAUCCCCGAGCUGACAAAGUACAAAUCUGUCGUUCUGCCCCUGAACAAGGCACUGUUCCUAGGCCAUCAUUGAAAAUAAGAAUUUGUUCUUUACUGACUUGCCUAGUUAAAUAAAGGUAAAAUAAAAAUGUAAAAAAUUGCUGUUGCCCUCUACAGAGCUGGAGGGGAAAGACGUGGAGGACCUCUUCACAGCGGUCCUGAGUCCCAGCACCAGCCAGCCUCCACAGCUGCCUCACCCCCAACCGGCCCACCCUGGGCCCAAUGGACCAAGAGCCAUGGCCAUUCCAAACCCAGGUACCGCCACCACCUCAAGCCUCUUGGAGAAUUGCAUCUGGGAAUUUAAAUAAACACAGCAAAAAAAGAAACGUCCUCUCACUGUCAACUGUGUUUAUUUUCAGCAAAUUUAACAUGUAAAUAUUUGUGUGAACAUAACAAGAUUCAACAACUGAGACAUAAACUGAACAAGUUCCACAGACAUGUGACUAACAGAAAUAGAAUAAUGUGUCCCUGAACAAAAGGGGGAGGGGAGGUGGUCAAAAUCAAAAGUAACAGUCAGUAUCUGGUGUGGCCACCAGCUGCAUUAAGUACUGCAGUGCAUCUCUUCCUCAUUGACUGCACCAGAUUUGCCAGUUCUUGCUGUGAGAUGUUACCCCACUCUUCCACCAAGGCACCUGCAAGUUCCUGGACAUUUCUGGGGGUAAUGGCCCUAGCCCUAACCCUCCGAUCCAACAGGUCCCAGACGUGCUCAAUGAGAUUGAGAUCCGGGCUCUUCGCUGGCCAUGGCAGAACACUGGCGUUCCUGUCUUGCAGGAAAUCACGUACAGAACGAGCAGUAUGGGCUGGUGGCAUUGUCAUCCUGGAGGGUCAUGUCAGGAUGAGCCUGCAGGAAGGGUACCACAUGAGGGAGGAGGAUGUCUUCCCUGUAACGCACAGUGUUGAGAUUGCCUGCAAUGACAACAAGCUCAGUCCGAUGAUGCUGUGACACACCGCCCCAGACCAUGAUGGACCCUCCACCUCCAAAUCGAUCCCGCUCCAGAGUACAGGCCUCAGUGUAACGCUCAUUCAUUCGACGAUAAACGCAAAUCCGACCAUCACCGCUGGUGAGACAAAACCGCAACUCGUCAGUGAAGAGCACUUUUUGGCAAUCAAAUCAAACUUUAUUUGCCACAUGCGCCCGAAUACAACAAGUGUAGACUUUACUGUGAAAUGCUUACUUACAAGCCCUUAACCAACAGUGCAAUUAAAGAAGAAGAAAAUAUUUACCAAGCAGGCUAAAAUAAAAAGUAAUAAUGAAGAGUAACACAAUAACAAUAACGAGGCUAUACACAUCACUUACGUCCUGUCAGGUCCAGCGAUGGUGGGUUUGUGCCCAUAGGCGACGUUGUUGCCGGUGAUGUCUGGUGAGGACCUGCCUUACAACAGGCCUACAAGCCCUCAGUCCAGCCUCUCUCAGCCUAUUGCGGACAGUCUGAGCACUGAUGGAGGGAUUGUGCGUUCCUGGUGUAACUCGGGCAGUUGUUGCCAUCCUGUACCUGUCCCACAGGUGUGGUGAUCGGAUGUACCGAUCCUGUGCAGGUGUUGUGACACGUGGUCUGCCACUGCGAGGACGAUCAGCUGUCCAUCCUGUCUCCCUGUUGUGCUGCCUUAGGCGUCUCACAGUACAGACAUUGCAAUUUAUUGCCCUGGCCACAUGCCUCCUUGCAGCAUGCCUAAGGCACGUUCACGCAGAUGAGCAGGGACCCUGGGCAUCUUUCUUUUGUUUUUUUGAAGUUUUCAUAACUGUGACCUUAAUUGCCUACUGUCUGUAAGCUGUUAGUGUCUUAUGACCAAUCCACAGGUGUUUGGUGUUUUAAUUGUUUAUGGUUCAUUGAACAAGCAUGGAAACCCUUUAAAAUGAAGAUCUCUGAAGUUAUUUGGAUAUUUACGAGUUAUCUUUGAAAGACAGGGUCGUAUCUUUUUUUGUUGCGUUUAUAAUCAACUAUUGACUGUGGAAAUCAAUCUAUAUGAAUGAAUGAAUGGAUAUGAGCAUUUAUUGAAUGAACACUGAUUUAUAUGAAUAUCAUGUUCACAUAGUCAACAGGACAUGUGCAUGUAUUUCUGGAACUACUUCUCCGACAUCGUCUCUAUGCUCUCUGUUGCAGGCAACCAUGGGAUGUUUCCCCGCAUGCCAAUGAUGAACGGCAUGAUGAGGCCCAACCCCCACUUUCCUCCAACUCCCAUGAUGCCCGGCAGCACAGGCCCAUGUGGCCUGGGAAACUUUUCGCCCAUUCACAGAAUGCCUUUCCCAGACAAGAUUAGGUAAGAGCAGGUACAGCAGGGAGCUGUCUAUGCAUUACUAGAGCAUUGCUUUCAUCUGCUCAAAGACAAUCAAUUGGAUUUUGUGUUAUUAACUUGCCUAGUGAUUCUUUUUUACUAUGUUAUCCUUCAUUGUUUUGACUCCAUUGUAUACAGUUCACUUUAACCAAAUUUUUCCUCUGAAGUCUGCUCGCUUGUUAGCUUUCAUAUCUCAAUCAAUGAAUGUAAUGUCAUUUUUAUACUAUAGCCCUUUUUACAUGAUCAUUUGCUUCAAAGUGAACCGCAUUGUAAGUGAUGUGACAUACUUAAGCAAUAAGGCACGAGGGGGUGUGCUAUAUGGCCAAUAUACCACGGCUAAGGGCUGUUCUUAUUAGGCACGAUGCAUCGCCAUAUACCACAAACUCCCAAGGUGCCUUAUUGCUGUUAUAAACUGGUUAUCAACGUAAUUAGAGCAGUAAAAAUAAAUGUUUUAUCAUACCCGUGGUAUACGGUCUGAUAUACCAUGGCUGUCAGCCAAUCAGCAUUCAGGGCUCAAACCACCCAGUUUAUAAAAAUCUAUAUAUAACUGUAAAUAUAUUGGUAAUGUUGCAAUAGAAUGUGUAACCUGAGAUAUCCUUCCAGGGACAAGAAGUUUAGCCAGAUGGGGGGUGAUGUGGUUGGUUCGUGGAGCGCCCCCAGCUCUGACCCCGGCCCAGUCCCUGGCCCCGUCCCCCCUCCAGAGGGAGAGACAGACACCAUGUCCAAUGCCCAGAGGAGCACGCUCAAGUGGGAGAAGGAGGAAACUCUGGGCGAGAUGGCCACCGUGGCCCCAGUCCUCUACACCAACGUCAACUUCCCCAACCUCCUAGAAGAGUUCCCAGGUUGGUACAUCGUAGACAAAGUUUCUCAAAUGAAAAUGAGAUGAUUUUUGGUUCCGUCAAAUUCAAAAGUGUGAAUUAUCGACUACAUUUUUUCAAAUGAAAAAAAUGAUGAGCUCUGAAGUUUUGUGUCACACUCAUUAAAAGGGGACUGGGAAAGGUAUAGUUCUUGGCCAUAUUGCAUGUGUGUUGUAGCGCUAUACGUUUUAGUGGCU